CUGGGCGUGAUGCAGAAUUUCCAACCUGACGUCGAUGAUGCUGGUUGUAUUCAUACUGUCUGAUCCAG
rfam:Pelodiscus sinensis unplaced genomic scaffold scaffold424, whole genome shotgun sequence.